rnacentral:misc_RNA from 1 species
CUGUAUUAUAUAUUGGCAUAUUGGACUCACAUAUUGUCCUCGUAAACCAAGGGCUUACCUUGUCAGUUAAGUUGUGGCUGACAACUCAAUUGCAGUCUGGUGGCAAUUUUACCUUCUCUAGUUUGCAGGAACCAUUCUUCGGAGUUGGUUCUGAUGUUCUUUCUGCUAGAAGAAUAGGCAGUCCUUUGGCUGAAAAUAUUGAACUUGGAGCACAAUGCUUUGCAACAAUGCAAACACCGAC